UACGUAGGGUCCGAGCGUUGUCCGGAAUUAUUGGGCGUAAAGGGCUCGUAGGCGGUUUGUCGCGUCGGGAGUGAAAACCCAGGGCUUAACUCUGGGCUUGCUUUCGAUACGGGCAGACUAGAGGUAUGCAGGGGAGAACGGAAUUCCUGGUGUAGCGGUGAAAUGCGCAGAUAUCAGGAGGAACACCGGUGGCGAAGGCGGUUCUCUGGGCAUUACCUGACGCUGAGGAGCGAAAGUGUGGGGAGCGAACAGG
rnacentral:rRNA from 1 species